UGUCCUUGCACCAGAACGUCUACAUGUAAUAGAAUUGCUUAGAGACCCCUAGAUCUUUGCUAAUCACAUUAGUAAAUUCUUCCUUGGUACCCUAUCUUAUUAUGGCAACAACAUGUGUUUCAAAUUUCAGCCACUCACAAGUCAUUUCUUACAGAAGACGGAGUGCAUUGAAGUGCAUUUCCAAUGACUUUACAUUAGAGUGACAUGGUAAAUGUGUAGCAUAACAAUCCAAAGAGACUUUGAGAUUGGCUCUACUUGAAAACACUAUGGAAAAUACAUCCUUCAAGGUUUAAAAAUGUGCGAUCAGAAAUACAGCUUAACCAAGGUUGUGUCACAUGGUCACUAUCAUUCUUUACCAAGACAUAAUUGCAGGAAUGUUUUAAAAUAUUACUCAUUUUUAGUAACAUUUUGGUAGCAUUUGAAAUUAUGGCUGCUAGAUCUUUCUUGGCAUUCAGAAUGAAUGACCUGAUAAAUGCAAAGCAAUUAGCAGAGAGGCUGACAUAAAUUAAGUGCUCAGUAAAUGCUAUCAUAGUCCUCCCCAUCACCUGCUGUGAGGGUCUUUGGUCUGUUUCUAGCCUAGAUGUCUCUCUCAAUGUCCAUAGAAACUCAAGUUUAGUACAUCUAAAGCUAUUUUUUUAUUCCACACUUUGAUCAAUAGCACCAAAGUCUCAGCUGACCAUCAGUUUUACCACCCUAAUAUCCAUUUUAGAUCUGCUCCUCCUCUCUAACCCUGUUACCCUGACCUGAUUCAGGUCUUCAAUUUUUUGGCCUGAUCUACUGUGAGAGCUAUCUGUGUUCCCCUUCUUUAGACAGUUCUCCACUCAAUCCUCCACCCAACUGCUGGGAUGGUGUAUUGGUCUCCUGCUUAAAUCAUAGAAUGGCUUGCUAUGAUCCUCCAUAGAUGUAGCUCAAGUUUUUUAGCCCAACCCACUACUCCCUACCCCUCCCAUUCUAACCCUCUACACUAGGACACUGAAGUGUAUGAGCUCUUCCUGCUCAUUCAGCUGUCUUGCCUCUGCACCUGUGUACCCCCGCAACACACUGCCUUUCACCCUUUUCUCUCCCUGCAAUGCCUUCCACACAUCUUUUGAUCUGGCAAACUAUUGCUCACCACCCAAGACUCAGGGCCAACAUCACCUCCUUUAAGCAUUUCCCUUGUCUCCCCCUUACCCCUACCUUAUUCCAACUGUUACUGAGUUGUGUAUCUCCCAUAAGGGUCCCACAUACCCUGCUCAAAUCUCUGUCUCUUUCACUAAAAUCACCAGGUUUCUUUGGAUUUUACUUUUGUGUCUGUUUUUACCAGAUUCUUAUUGAAAGAAAGAAAGAGUUUUACUUGUUUUCUUUGGGUUCUUUCAGGAGGACUCCCACCCGCAUUUUUCCCACAGGCUGUGUGCUCGUGUGUCCUCCACAGCCCAUAAUUGUCUGUCAUGAAUUUGCCAAAGUCUGGAUUUGUCAGUCUUAAAAAAAUACCAUGUGGGAAAUACCAAAGGGCCGUCUAAGUUGGAAUGUAAGGAAAACUUGCCUCUAACCCUUCAAGGCCAUAGUUCAGCCACAGAGAUACCCAAUUUACAUGAUUAAACAGACCACUUAGCAUCUUCUGUUACGGCAUCUGCAUUUGUAUUUAUAAUGCCUUUGCAUUUUUAUCCAAGAAUCAUGGAGUAAUUUUUUCAUUACUUUUAUGUAACUAGAGGGCCCAGUGUGAAUUUUUAAAAUCAAGCGAAAUCUCCAGUACAGGAAACUACCAGAACCCAGAAUGUUAAUACCUUCACUAAAUCAUUAAAAUCCCUCUCCACUGGGCCCCUGCAGCAGCCUAAGUAACUAGAACAAGGCUUAGCAUCUAGAAUAAAAAAUGAAUUAUCUCUUCCCUUUUCCUUUCCAGCAAUGUCUUCUCUCUUAAGUUAAGACCUCACUCUGAUGACCAUUAGGAAACUCACAUUCUAUUAUGUUGAAAACUGAACCAAGUUCCCACCUCACCACCACCCAUCCUUUUCUUUCUUCUGAAUUCACAUCUUGGUUAAUGCACCAGAAUUUACACAGGGGCCCCAAGCCAAAAUCUUGUCAAAGAACUUUAACUCUUUCCUGUUCCUCCCUCCACAAAUUUCAUCAGCACCCAUGCUCUGCCAUUUUGCUUUCCUUAAUUGUAGUGUCUGGCUGAUGGAUGUCAACAAGGCUUUGUUGAAUGCCUGUUGUUAAAAAUUUGCUCUCUCAUUUCCAUUGCCAUGGCCUUUAAUUUCUCACCUAAACUGCUGAAAUAGUUUUCCUUUCCUGGGACUCUCAUUUCUCCAAGAGCCUGUCAAAUUGAUUCCUCACUUCAAGCCCAUUCAGUCUUUAAAGUCUUCAAUAUCCUAUCGUCACCUACAGAGCAAAUGGAAAUCCAGUAGCAUCUGAAAGAGUGUAGGGAACGUCAUCCCAAAAUAUGGCUUCUUGCUAUAAAGAUUAUUUUGAGUUAAAGACCCUUAGGAAACAACAGACUGUAACAGCCCAACAGGUUCUUCUUGCCCACUGCCCAGAAAAGCCAGUGCACUGAGAACAGCAGGUUUUGCAGCAAAGAAAGAGUUUAAUAAUUGCAAGUCCAGCUAAGCAAAAGGACAGGAGACAUUUCUCAAGUCUGCCUCUUAGGAAACUCAGAUGCUAGGGUUUUAAAGAUUAUUUGGCAAGUAGAGGGCUAGUGAAUUAGUGCUGCUGAUAGGAUAGGAUGAAAUAAUAGAAGUAUCCAGACUGUCUUUGUGCUAAGUCAGUUUGUGGAUGAAAGUUCCUGGGUGGGAGUCAGUUUCUUGGUCUGACUCACAGGUCUGGCUGGAAUCAUUUGGUUGCCAUAAUGCAAAAGUUUGAAAAAUAUCUCAAAGACCAGUCUUAGGUUUUGACAAUACUGGUGUUACUGGAAAGGGGUCCUGAUCUAGACACCAAGAGAAGAUCUUGGAUCUCAUACAAUGAAGAAUUCAGGGUGAGUCCAUAAAGUUAAUGCAAGUGUAUUAAGAAAGUA
rnacentral:lncRNA from 10 species